AGCCGUUAAGCCCGCCGCCUGGGGAGUACGGCCGCAAGGCUGAAACUUAAAGGAAUUGGCGGGGGGGCACCACAAGGGGUGAAGCUUGCGGCUUAAUUGGAGUCAACGCCGGAAACCUUACCCGGGGCGACAGCAGGAUGAAGGCCAGGCUAACGACCUUGCCGGACGAGCUGAGAGGAGGUGCAUGGCCGUCGUCAGCUCGUGCCGUGAGGUGUCCGGUUAACCCGUGGAUGGGGGUGACCUUUAAACCGGUAGGCGGGUCUAUCUUUAUGGAGAUCGUCGAGUAUUUUAUCGGGUUUCUCCUGGGGGAUGGCUACCUCUACCACUACAAAAAGGAGGGGAAGUACCUCGUCAGGGUUGCUGACAGUAGCAAGGAGUUCUUAGAGAUGCUUAGAACCGAAAUGUUGUCUGCUGGCUAUAAAGGCCAUAUAUACAAGAUAAAAGGCAGAAACGCGUAUGUCCUGGAAUUUUCAAACAAGAAGCUGUAUUACUUAUGUCUUGAACUUGCCACAAAUUUGCUGAAAAAUCCUACAGCUCCCUUUGUGGCUGGGCUGAUAGAUGCAGAGGGCUCGCUACAAAAACCGCGGAGAGGGUCGUUGAGGCUAGUCGUUACCAAUACAAACCUCACGUUGUUACAUGCGGUGUCUAAUCAUCUGCGCCAGAUAGGCAUCGAGGCGACGCCGAAGCCGUAUGGAAAGACCCGGAGAGGGGAAAGGCAAAGAUACCGCAUAAUAGUCUACGGGAAGGAAAAAAUUACAAGGAUUAUUUCGGCCAUCCCCCUGAGACAUCCAAAAUUUUAUCCCCCACCACGGGGCCGAAAGUCCGGCAACGAGCGAGACCCCCACCCCUAGUUGCUUUCCCGCUCUUCGGGGCGGGAGGCACACUAGGGGGACUGCCGGCGUAAGCCGGAGGAAGGAGGGGGCCACGGCAGGUCAGUAUGCCCCGAAACCCCGGGGCUGCACGCGAGCUGCAAUGGCGGGGACAGCGGGAUCCGACCCCGAAAGGGGGAGGCAAUCCCGUAAACCCCGCCCCAGUAGGGAUCGAGGGCUGCAACUCGCCCUCGUGAACGUGGAAUCCCUAGUAACCGCGUGUCACCAACGCGCGGUGAAUACGUCCCUGCCCCUUAGGCGGGUUGCUGCGGCCUUCCUCAU
rnacentral:rRNA from 1 species